rnacentral:rRNA from 1 species
GCGAGUCAUUGUAGCAAUACAAGGCAGACGGCUCAGUAACGCGUAGUCAAUCUACCCUAUGGACGGGAAUAACCUCGGGAAACUGAGAAUAAUGCCCGACAGAACAUUAUACCUGGAACGGUUUAUGUUUCAAAUGAUUUAUCGCCGUAGGAUGGGACUGCGGCCUAUCAGUUUGUUGGUGAGGUAAUGGCCUACCAAGACUAUUACAGGUACGGGCUCUGAGAGGAGUAGCCCGGAGAUGGGUACUGAGACACGGACCCAGGCCCUAUGGGGCGCAGCAGGCGAGAAAACUUUGCAAUGUGCGAAAGCACGACAAGGUUAAUCCGAGUGGUUUCUGCUAAAGAAACCUUUUGCUAGUCCUAGAAACACUAGUGAAUAAGGGGUGGGCAAGUUCUGGUGUCAGCCGCCGCGGUAAAACCAGCACCUCAAGUGGUCAGGAUGAUUAUUGGGCCUAAAGCAUCCGUAGCUCGUUUUGUAAGUUUUCGGUUAAAUCCAUACGCUUAACGUAUGGGCUGCCGGGAAUACUGCAUAACUAGGAAGUGGGAGAGGUAGACGGUACUCGGUAGGAAGGGGUAAAAUCCUUUGAUCUAUUGAUGACCACCUGUGGCGAAGGCGGUCUACCAGAACACGUUCGACGGUGAGGGAUGAAAGCUGGGGGAGCAAACCGGAUUAGAUACCCGGGUAGUCCCAGCUGUAAACUAUGCAAACUCAGUGAUGCAUUGGCUUGUGGCCAAUGCAGUGCUGCAGGGAAGCCGUUAAGUUUGCCGCCUGGGAAGUACGUACGCAAGUAUGAAACUUAAAGGAAUUGGCGGGGGAGCACCACAAGGGGUGAAGCCUGCGGU